rnacentral:lncRNA from 1 species
CAAGUGAAAAAGAAAACUGACGAUGACGCGGAAGCCAUCUGCUCCAUGUGCAACGCUCUGACCACAGCCCAGAUCGUCAAAGUGUUGAAUCUGUACACACCCGUUAAUGAGUUUGAGGAAAGGGUCUCUGUUUCAUUUAUCCGCACUAUACAGGUGAGAUGCUGUUUUCUUUCUUGCUGCUUCACCAGAAAGUCAUUUGAAUGGAAUAUUCACAAUGUUUUUGGAAGGAUAAUGUGUUUUUAUCUUUUGCAUUUCCAUUUUACUUUAUAGUACAUUCACUAUUUUAUAUAGGUUUAUAAUCCAUAAAUAUUUUAAUAAAAAAGUUAACUUUUUUAAAUUUUUAAUAGGAAUUUUGGUAAGAAAAUAUCUUACAAUGCCGUUUGUCUUUUUUCAUAAUACCCUCAGGUGCGGUUACGAGACAGGAAAGACUCUCCACAGCUGCUCAUGGAUGCAAAACACAUCUUUCCUGUCACUUUCCCCUUUAACCCAUCCUCCCUGGCCCUAGAAACCAUCCAGAUUCCAGCCAGCCUGGGCCUGGGCUUCAUUGCAAGGGUCUGAAGGGCUACCCAAGCAAAUGUAGAGAACGCAUUUCUCCUCAAAACAUGAACAGUUGUUUCCAGUGAGCUACUGAAAAUACAUUUUU